rnacentral:RNase_P_RNA from 1 species
GCGGAGUGGUGGAUGGCCGCUGACAGAUACCGGCAUGCCGGGUAUGUCAGAGGAAAGUCCGGACUCCCAAAAGCAACGGUGCCGGGUAACGCCCGGGCGGGGUAACUCGACGGACAGCGCCACAGAAAUGAAACCGCCUCGGCAUGCCGGGGCAAGGGUGAAACGGUGGGGUAAGAGCCCACCGCCGGGCUGGUAACAGGCCGGGCAUGGCAAGCCCCACCGGGAGCAAUGCCAAAUAGGGAUCGCGCGGACCGCAAGGUUCGGGGCAGCUUUUGCCCCAGUAGAUCCGGGUUGGCAGCUAGAGGGAUGUUGGUAACAGCAUCCCAAGAGGAAUGGUCAUCUCGGGCGGGGCAACUCGUCUAUGACAGAAUCCGGCUUAUAGCCUCUCCGCGCGC